rnacentral:lncRNA from 1 species
UAACAUCAUAUUUUGAAUUUUAUUUUUAUUUAAAAUAUAUAUUUUUUAUUUUUUUAUGAUCGUUUUUAAUAUGUUUGUGUUAAAAAUAAUUUUUUAAAAAUAAAAAAAUUAUUUUAGUAAUUUUUUAAAUAAAAAAUAUUUUAAACUGUCAUAACUAUCACAAUACCAAGCAUAUACCUACACAAUUCCAAGCAUAUACCUACAGAGACACCAAAACUAAAAUGAUUAUUUGUUUUUAUUUUAUUUAAGUAUUAAUAAACUAUAUUUCUAUAUUGCCAAAUAAGAUGAUCCCUAGACAGAACUUUUUUACGUUUUUGAAUGUCUCAUUUCAUUAUUUUUCAGGCAAAACUUCAUUUACUUAACAGAGUUCUAUAAUCAUUAAUAAAAUUUGACUAUUAUAAAAAAUAAAAUGGUCCCCAGACGUGUGUUCUAAAAUUUGAAUUUAGAAAAUUAUAUGUAUAAACUAUCAUUAACGUGUGUUCUAAAAUUUGAAAGACACAAAUGACAUGCAAUUAACCUCUAACUUGAAGCAGAAAGAGUCUCGUAAAUUGAUCGUUACUAUUUUUAAGAAUAUCCUCAGUUUAAUAUUGUUAUAUAUGUUUGGUUUCAG